rnacentral:rRNA from 1 species
CACGUAGGGGCCAAGCGUUGUCCGGAUUUAUUGGGCGUAAAGAGCGCGUAGGCGGUCCGGUAAGUCGGUUGUGAAGACUGGGGGCUCAACCCUCAGAGGCCGACCGAUACUGUCGGGCUAGAGUCCGGAAGAGGCGAGUGGAAUUCCUGGUGUAGCGGUGAAAUGCGCAGAUAUCAGGAGGAACACCAAUGGCGAAGGCAGCUCGCUGGGACGGUACUGACGCUGAGGCGCGAAAGCGUGGGGAGCAAACAGG